UGAAUUUACAAUUUUGUCUGCUUGCCUAACAGUUUACAUUGCAUUAUUACAUUUUUAUUCAUACACUGUCAUGUCAUUUGAUCAAUUAAUUAAAUAAUAAUACAGACUGCAAAUAAAACUUAAUACACAGCUUUGUUAACUCGCGCAAACUAUUGCUAUUGUUAUUGGUUGUUUCGCCGUUUUACUUUGAGCAUGAUUGGUUAAUCUGUCUGUUUUCCAGGAAACCGUCCAAUGAGAUUGUGCGCGGCUCUGCGCGCCUAUUUUAAAUUUGAAAAUAUGUCCGUUACUCUCGGUCGGAGCAGCUGCUUUGCGUUGAUUACUCGGUCAGACCUGGAUUAUUUUAUAUCUGCCUGUUGAAUUCUUACAUUUUGAGCGAAUUUUUGUUGAUAUGUCAAUGAAGAACAAAAGCUGGAAUGUGAACAGAGGAAGGGGUUGUACGUGGUCUGUAAAUACUGGCGAUAUCAGAUCAAGCAUUGGAAUAAGAUUUUUAUCGGGGGAGAACACCCAACAGAAAGACCCAUGACUCACCAACUGGCGCACUGAAAUGGGAGAUUCAUGUCACCUUCAUCAGUUCUUUCUUUAAUCACUGGACACCAUUAAGGGAAAGACCCUCAGAUAACAGGAUAAAUGCGGCUGCAGGUUUUGACAGAUUGGACUAGUUAACUUACUUCAACAACUUCUGGCAAGCUUAACAGUAAUGUUAGGGCCAUUUUCUGGAAGAGAAACCCACUUGGACAGUUUGACAAGGAUCAAGAGGCCAAGGACCAGGUGGUGAAGGCUGAACCAACAGACCAGACAGCUCUGCCACAGCCAGCCUCUGAACUUGCUCUACAGUCUGAAUAGCCCGGGUGAAGUUAAACUCUCCUUUGCUGGUGACCCAGAUGGCUGAGAACAUGUUAGGCUGGUAGCCUGGAAGCUAAGAGGAAAGCGGCAAAGGAGUUUGCAGGCGAGACUGAUGAUUGCAGAGGAGCUGAAACCCACAGAGGACAUGGGUCUCAAUGAACACAAGGUCAAGGCCUGGUGAGAGCCACUACAGAGGAUCAUAGCCAUCGUUGGAAUUCUGAAAGGACGUGGGUGAAUAUCAAUCUGCCAAAUGAACAUUCACAUCUGUAUAUUAAUACUGAUUAUAUA